AAUUAGCUGGCGUAGCCAUUGUUGCAGGAUUGUUCUUUGAAAGCAACCAGCAGACAGCCAGAGUGUCUGACUUAGUUUUACUCCCUAAACCAGGAUGCUGGACACGCUGGUUUGACAGAGAUGACCCCUCUGGAAGUGGAGACUGGGAAACCCUCUCUGAUCUUCGCAAUGAGUACCCAGGAAAGAUCUGCUCUAAACCAUUAGCUAUUGAGGCGAGAACUCUAUCUGGACUCACUGUGGCUGCAGCAGGUGAUGUGAUUUAUCUAAGGGACACCACUAAAGGAUUUGUCUGCAGGAACCAGGACCAACCCAGGCCUAAGAUGUGUAAGGAUUAUCGUGUUCGUUUCAGCUGCCCUCGCUCUUUCUGUAAAGGUACGGUCUGAACACAUUCAUGUGCGGUGUUA